rfam:Triticum aestivum genome assembly, contig: Triticum_aestivum_CS42_TGACv1_scaffold_501772_6BL
AAAGUACUCCCUCCGUCCCAAAAUUCUUUUCUUAGAUUUGUCUAGAUACAGAUGUAUCAAGUCACAUUUUAGUAUUAGAUACAUCGGUAUCUAGAAAAAUCUAAGACAAGAAAUUUGGGACAGAGGGAGUAGUUG